GGGGGCCCGCACAAGCGGUGGAGCAUGGUGUUUAAUUCGAAGCAACGCGAAGAACCUUUACCAGGUCUUGACAUCCCGAUGCUUAUUUCUAGAGAUAGAAAGUUACUUCGGUACAUCGGUGACAGGUGGUGCAUGGUUGUCGUCAGCUCGUGUCGUGAGAUGUUGGGUUAAGUCCCGCAACGAGCGCAACCCCUAUUGUUAGUUGCCAUCAUUCAGUUUGGGCACUCUAGCGAGACUGCCGGUAAUAAACCGGAGGAAGUGGGGAUGACGUCAAAUCAUCAUGCCCCUUAUGACCUGGGCUACACACGUGCUACAAUGGUUGGUACAACGAGUUGCGAGUCGGUGACGGCGAGCUAAUCUCUUAAAGCCAAUCUCAGUUCGGAUUGUAGGCUGCAACUCGCCUACAUGAAGUCGGAAUCGCUAGUAAUCGCGGAUCAGCACGCCGCGGUGAAUACGUUCCCGGGCCUU
rnacentral:rRNA from 1 species